AUAAUACUCCCUCCGUCCGGAAUUACUUGUCAUCAAAAUGGAUGUGUCUAGAACUAAAAUACAUCUAGAUACAUCCAUUUCAAUGACAAGUAUUUUCGAACAGAGGGAGUAGUAG
rnacentral:pre_miRNA from 1 species